AUGGCCAUGCUACUCUGAACACACCCAAUCCUGUCUGAUCUCAGAAGUUAAGUUGGGUUGGGCCUGGUUAGUACUUGGAUAGAAGACCACCUAGGAAGACCAGGUGCUGUAGGCA
rnacentral:rRNA from 1 species